rnacentral:rRNA from 1 species
CAGCAGCCGCGGGAAUACGGAGGGAGCUAGCGUUGUUCGGAAUUACUGGGCGUAAAGCGCACGUAGGCGGCUAUUCAGGUCAGGGGUGAAAGCCCGGGGCUCAACCCCGGAACUGCCUUUGAAACUAGAUAGCUUGAAUCUUGGAGAGGCGAGUGGAAUUCCGAGUGUAGAGGUGAAAUUCGUAGAUAUUCGGAAGAACACCAGUGGCGAAGGCGACUCGCUGGACAAGUAUUGACGCUGAGGUGCGAAGCGUGGGGGGCAAACAGGAUUAGAUACCCCGGUAGUCCCUGUCUCUUAUACA